rnacentral:rRNA from 1 species
UACGAAGGGGGCUAGCGUUGCUCGGAAUCACUGGGCGUAAAGCGCACGUAGGCGGGUCGUUAAGUCGGGGGUGAAAUCCUGGAGCUCAACUCCAGAACUGCCUUCGAUACUGGCGACUUCGACGUCCGGGAGAGGUGAGUGGAACUGCCGAGUGUAGAGGUGAAAUUCGUAGAUAUUCGCAAGAACACCAGUGGCGAAGGCGGCUCACUGGCCCGGUACUGACGCUGAGGUGCGAAAGCGUGGG